UACGAAGGGGGCUAGCGUUGCUCGGAAUCACUGGGCGUAAAGCGCACGUAGGCGGAUUGUUAAGUCAGGGGUGAAAUCCUGGAGCUCAACUCCAGAACUGCCUUUGAUACUGGCGAUCUUGAGUCCGGGAGAGGUGAGUGGAACUGCGAGUGUAGAGGUGAAAUUCGUAGAUAUUCGCAAGAACACCAGUGGCUAAGGCGGCUCACUGGCCCGGUACUGACGCUGAGGUGCGAAAGCGUGGGGAGCAAACAGG
rnacentral:rRNA from 1 species